AUUGAACGCUGGCGGCAGGCUUAACACAUGCAAGUCGAGCGGGGUGAUGGUGCUUGCACUAUCACUUAGCGGCGGACGGGUGAGUAAUGUUUAGGAAUCUGCCUAUUAGUGGGGGACAACAUCUCGAAAGGGAUGCUAAUACCGCAUACGUCCUACGGGAGAAAGCAGGGGAUCACUUGUGACCUUGCGCUAAUAGAUGAGCCUAAGUCGGAUUAGCUAGUUGGUGGGGUAAGGCCUACCAAGGCGACGAUCUGUAGCGGGUCUGAGAGGAUGAUACGCCACACUGGGACUGAGACACGGCCCAGACUCCUACGGGAGGUAGCAGUGGGGAAUAUUGGACAAUGGGGGGAACCCUGAUCCAGCCAUGCCGCGUGUGUGAAGAAGGCCUUAUGGUUGUAAAGCACUUUAAGCGAGGAGGAGGCUCUUUUGGUUAAUACCCAAGAUGAGUGGACGUUACUCGCAGAAUAAGCACCGGCUAACUCUGUGCCAGCAGCCGCGGUAA
rnacentral:rRNA from 1 species